rnacentral:rRNA from 1 species
GACGAACGCUGGCGGCGUGCUUAACACAUGCAAGUCGAACGGUGAACCUCUUCGGGGGGGAUCAGUGGCGAACGGGUGAGUAACACGUGGGCAACCUGCCCCCGGCUCUGGGAUAACUCCAAGAAAUUGGGGCUAAUACCGGAUGUUCACCGCUUCCCGCAUGGGUGGUGGUGGAAAGGGUUUCCGGCUGGGGAUGGGCCCGCGGCCUAUCAGCUUGUUGGUGGGGUAGUGGCCUACCAAGGCGACGACGGGUAGCCGGCCUGAGGGGGUGACCGGCCACACUGGGGCAGAGACACUGCCCAGACUCCUACGGGAGGCAGCAGUGGGGAAUAUUGCGCAAUGGGCGGAAGCCUGACGCAGCGACGCCGCGUGGGGGAUGACGGCCUUCGGGUUGUAAACCUCUUUCAGCAGGGACGAAGCGUAAGUGACGGUACCUGCAGAAGAAGCACCGGCCAACUACGUG